rnacentral:rRNA from 1 species
CCUACGGGAGGCAGCAGUGAGGAAUAUUGGUCAAUGGACGCAAGUCUGAACCAGCCAAGCCGCGUGCGGGAAGAAGGCUCUAUGAAUUGUAAACUGCUUUUGUAAGGGGGUAAAUCCCGAUACGUGUAUGGGGUGGAAAGUAUCGUAAGAAUAAGGAUCGGCUAACUCCGUGCCAGCAGCCGCGGUAAUACGGAGGAUUCGAGCGUUAUCCGGAUUUAUUGGGUUUAAAGGGUGCGUAGGCGGUUUUAUAAGUUAGCGGUUAAAUCCCGGGGCUCAACUCCGGCACUGCCUUUGAUACUGUCGGUCUAGAGUUUAGUUGCGGUAGGCGGAAUGUAUGGUGUAGCGGUGAAAUGCAUAGAGAUCAUACAGAACACCGAUUGCGAAGGCAGCAUACCAACCUACGACUGACGCUGAGGCACGAAAGCGUGGGUAGCAAACAGGAUUAGAUACCCCUGUAGUC